ensembl:rRNA 5S_rRNA 5S ribosomal RNA
GUCUACGGCCACACCACCCUGAACACUCCUGAUCAAGUCUGAUCACAGAAGCUAAGCAGUAUGGGCCUGGUUAGUACUUGGAUGGGGAAAUCAGGAAUCAUCAAUG